rnacentral:rRNA from 1 species
UACAGAGGUCUCAAGCGUUGUUCGGAUUCAUUGGGCGUAAAGGGUGCGUAGGCGGCGCGGUAAGUCGGGUGUGAAAUCUCGGGGCUUAACUCCGAAACUGCAUUCGAUACUGCCGUGCUUGAGGACUGGAGAGGAGACUGGAAUUUACGGUGUAGCGGUGAAAUGCGUAGAUAUCGUAAGGAAGACCAGUGGCGAAGGCGGGUCUCUGGACAGUUCCUGACGCUGAGGAGCGAAAGUGUGGGGAGCGAACAGG